GCGGCCUAUCAGCUUGUUGGUGAGGUAGAGGCUCACCAAGGCGACGACGGGUAGCCGGCCUGAGAGGGCGACCGGCCACACUGGGACUGAGACACGGCCCAGACUCCUACGGGAGGCAGCAGUAGGGAAUAUUGGGCAAUGGGCGAAAGCCUGACCCAGCGACGCCGCGUGAGGGAUGAAGGUCUUCGGAUUGUAAACCUCUUUCAGUAGGGAAGAAGCGAAAGUGACGGUACCUAAAGAAGAAGCACCGGCUAACUAUGUGCCAGCAGCCGCGGUAAUACAUAGGGUGCAAGCGUUGUCCGGGAUUAUUGGGCGUAAAGAGCUCGUAGGUCGUUUGUCGCGUCGAUUGUGAAAAUCUGAGGCUCAACCUCAGACCUGCAGUCGAUACGGGCAAACUAGAGUGUGGUAGGGGAGACUGGAAUUCCU
rnacentral:rRNA from 1 species